GUUCCCCUAGUUGAAUACAACAGUGGUUUUUCAAGUCACAAGUCCUGGUUAAAGUCCUGGGGGGAACC
rnacentral:tRNA from 1 species